rnacentral:rRNA from 1 species
GGUGGCGAUUGGCGGACGGGUGAGUAGAGCAUCUGGAUCUAGCCUGAGGUGGGGGAUAAACUCGGGAAACCGUUACUAAUACCGCAUACGUCCUACGGGAGAAAGCGGGGGACCUUCGGGCCUCGCGCGGCAGGACGAACCGAGGCGCGAUUAUUUAUUUGGCGGGGUAACGGCCCACCAAGGCGACGAUCGCUAGCUGGUCUGAGAGGAUGAUCAGCCACACUGGGACUGAGACACGGCCCAGACUCCUACGGGAGGCAGCAGUGGGGAAUAUUGGACAAUGGGCGCAAGCCUGAUCCAGCAAUGCCGCGUGUGUGAAGAAGGCCUUCGGGUUGUAAAGCACUUUUAUCAGGAGCGAAAUACCACGGGUUAAUACCCUAUGGGGCUGACGGUACCUGAGGAAUAAGCACCGGCUAACUUCGUGGCAGCAGCCGCGGGUAUACGAAGGGGUGCAACCGUUAAUCCGAAAUAACUGGGCGUUAAAGGGUGC